AGAGUUUGAUUGUGGCUCAGAACGAACGCUGGCAGCGUGGAUUAGGCAUGCAAGUCGAACGGGAAUCUAUCGGUUCAAGUUUUCGAACGAGAACCUUUAGAGGAGAGUGGCGAAAGGGUGAGUAACGCGUGGGCAAUCUACCUCUAAGUUGGGGAUAACCCUCCGAAAGGAGAGCUAAUACCGAAUGUGGUCCCUCAACGCAUGUUGAGGUGAUUAAAGGCGGGGAUUCUUCGGAACCUGUCACUUAGAGAGGAGCCCGCGUGCCAUCAGCUUGUUGGUAAGGUAACGGCUUACCAAGGCUUACGGCUAGCUGGUCUGAGAGGAUGAUCAGCCACACUGGGACUGAGACACUGCCCAGACUCCUACGGGAGGCUGCAGUCGAGGAUCAUUCGCAAUGCGCGAAAGCGUGACGAUGCGACGCUGCGUGGAGGAUGAAGGCCCUUGGGUCGUAAACUCCUAUCAUUCGGGAAAAAUACUCUCAAGGGUAAUAUGCUUGGGAAUUGAUGGUACCGAAAGAGGAAGCCACGGCUAACUCUGUGCCAGCAGCCGCGGUAAUACAGAGGUGGCAAGCGUUGUUCGGAUUUACUAGGCGUAAAGGGUGCGUAGGUGGCAAUGUAUGUCGGAUGUGAAAUCCCACGGCUCAACCGUGGAACUGCAUUCGAAGCUGCAUAGCUAGAGUGUAGGAGGGGAGAGCGGAAUUCUUGGUGUAGCGGUGAAAUGCGUUGAUAUCAAGAAGAACACCGGUGGCGAAGGCGGCUCUCUGGAAUACUACUGACACUGAUGCACGAGAGCUGGGGGAGCAAACAGGAUUAGAUACCCUGGUAGUCCCAGCCGUAAACGGUGUGAACUUGGUGUAGGGGGUAUUACCCCCCCUGUGCCGGAGCUAACGCGUUAAGUUCACCGCCUGGGGAGUACGGCCGCAAGGCUAAAACUCAAAGAAAUUGACGGGGGCCCGCACAAGCGGAGGAGCAUGUGGCUUAAUUCGAUGCAACGCGAAGAACCUUACCAGGGUUUGACAUGGCGACCCUUCGGGGGUGGAAGUGAAAGCUUCCUUUACGAUCACAGGUGCUGCAUGGCUGUCGUCAGUUCGUGCCGUGAGGUGUUUGGUUAAGUCCAGCAACGAACGCAACCCCUGUGUUUAGUUGCCACUUCGACUUCGGUCGGAAGCACUCUAAACAGACUGCCCGUACAAGCGGGAGGAAGGUGGGGAUGACGUCAAGUCAGUAUGGCCCUUACGCCCUGGGCUGCACACGUGCUACAAUGGUCGGUACAAAGGGAUGCAAUAUCGCAAGGUGGAGCUAAUCCUCAAAGCCGGCCCCAGUUCGGAUUGGAGUCUGCAACUCGACUCCAUGAAGUUGGAUUCGCUAGUAACGGCGUAUCAGCUACGACGCCGUGA
rnacentral:rRNA from 1 species